rnacentral:rRNA from 1 species
UGAUCAUGGCUCAGAUUGAACGCUGGCGGCAGGCCUAACACAUGCAAGUCGAACGGUAACAGGAAGCAGCUUGCUGCUUUGCUGACGAGUGGCGGACGGGUGAGUAAUGUCUGGGAAACUGCCUGAUGGAGGGGGAUAACUACUGGAAACGGUGGCUAAUACCGCAUAACGUCGCAAGACCAAAGAGGGGGACCUUCGGGCCUCUUGCCAUCAGAUGUGCCCAGAUGGGAUUAGCUUGUUGGUGAGGUAACGGCUCACCAAGGCGACGAUCCCUAGCUGGUCUGAGAGGAUGACCAGCCACACUGGAACUGAGACACGGUCCAGACUCCUACGGGAGGCAGCAGUGGGGAAUAUUGCACAAUGGGCGCAAGCCUGAUGCAGCCAUGCCGCGUGUAUGAAGAAGGCCUUCGGGUUGUAAAGUACUUUCAGCGGGGAGGAAGGUGUUGUGGUUAAUAACCACAGCAAUUGACGUUACCCGCAGAAGAAGCACCGGCUAACUCCGUGCCAGCAGCCGCGGUAAUACGGAGGGUGCAAGCGUUAAUCGGAAUUACUGGGCGUAAAGCGCACGCAGGCGGUCUGUCAAGUCGGAUGUGAAAUCCCCGGGCUCAACCUGGGAACUGCAUUCGAAACUGGCAGGCUUGAGUCUUGUAGAGGGGGGUAGAAUUCCAGGUGUAGCGGUGAAAUGCGUAGAGAUCUGGAGGAAUACCGGUGGCGAAGGCGGCCCCCUGGACAAAGACUGACGCUCAGGUGCGAAAGCGUGGGGAGCAAACAGGAUUAGAUACCCUGGUAGUCCACGCCGUAAACGAUGUCUACUUGGAGGUUGUGCCCUUGAGGCGUGGCUUCCGGAGCUAACGCGUUAAGUAGACCGCCUGGGGAGUACGGCCGCAAGGUUAAAACUCAAAUGAAUUGACGGGGGCCCGCACAAGCGGUGGAGCAUGUGGUUUAAUUCGAUGCAACGCGAAGAACCUUACCUGGUCUUGACAUCCACAGAACUUUCCAGAGAUGGAUUGGUGCCUUCGGGAACUGUGAGACAGGUGCUGCAUGGCUGUCGUCAGCUCGUGUUGUGAAAUGUUGGGUUAAGUCCCGCAACGAGCGCAACCCUUAUCCUUUGUUGCCAGCGGUUAGGCCGGGAACUCAAAGGAGACUGCCAGUGAUAAACUGGAGGAAGGUGGGGAUGACGUCAAGUCAUCAUGGCCCUUACGACCAGGGCUACACACGUGCUACAAUGGCGCAUACAAAGAGAAGCGACCUCGCGAGAGCAAGCGGACCUCAUAAAGUGCGUCGUAGUCCGGAUUGGAGUCUGCAACUCGACUCCAUGAAGUCGGAAUCGCUAGUAAUCGUGGAUCAGAAUGCCACGGUGAAUACGUUCCCGGGCCUUGUACACACCGCCCGUCACACCAUGGGAGUGGGUUGCAAAAGAAGUAGGUAGCUUAACCUUCGGGAGGGCGCUUACCACUUUGUGAUUCAUGACUGGGGUGAAGUCGUAACAAGGUAACCGUAGGGGAACCUGCGGUUGGAUCACCUCCUUACCUUAAAGAAGC